rnacentral:rRNA from 1 species
CCUACGGGUGACAGCAGUGAGGAAUAUUGGUCAAUGGGCGGGAGCCUGAACCAGCCAAGCCGCGUGAGGGAAGAAGGUACAGCGUAUCGUAAACCUCUUUUGUCAGGGAACACAGGCGGGAACUAAUCCCCGUGUGAGGUUACCUGAAGAAGACGCAUAGGCUAACUCCGUGCCCGCAGCCGCGGUAAUACGAGGGAUGCGAGCGUUAUCCGGAUUUAUUGGGUUUAAAGCUUGCGCAGACGGCCUGUUAAGUCAGCGGUAAAAUCCCGGGGCUCAACCCCGGCGAGCCGUUGAAACUGGCGGGCUGGAGUUGGAGAGAGGUACGCGGAAUGCGAGGUGUAGCGGUGAAAUGCUUAGAUAUCGCGCAGAACCCCGAGUGCGAAGGCAGCGUACCGGCUCCACACUGACGCUGAGGCACGAAAGCGUGGGUAUCGAACAGGAUUAGAUACCCGAGUAGUC